rnacentral:rRNA from 1 species
GUCUUUGUGGUUAUUUAUAUGAAGUCUAGCCUGCCCAAUGAUGUAGAAUUGAAUGGCCGCGGUAUCCUGACCGUGCAAAGGUAGCAUAAUAGUUAGUCUUUUAAUUGGAGACUGGAAUGAAGGGUUGAAUGAAAGGUCAGCUGUCUCUAUAUUAAAUCUUGAAUUUGACUUUUAAGUGAAAAGGCUUAAAUAAAUUAAGGGGACGAUAAGACCCUAUAAAUCUUCAUAUUCAGUCUUAUAAAAUAAAAAAGUGAAAUUAUUCUUAUUUAAUAAGAGUGAAUAUUUUGUUGGGGCGACAAAAAUAUAAACGUAACUGUUUUAUAAGUUUAGUUAAAUAUAUUUAAUUAAGUGAUCCUUUAAUAAAGAUAUUAGUUUAAGUUACUUUAGGGAUAACAGCGUAAUUUUUUUUGAGAGUUCAUAUCGAAAAAAGAGUUUGCGACCUCGAUGUUGAAUUAAAGGUCCUUUGCGGCGCAGAAGUUGUAAAAGGAGGUCUGUUCGACCUUUAAAUCUUUACAUGAUUUGAGUUCAGACCGGCGUAAG